UAGGGAAUCUUCCGCAAUGGACGCAAGUCUGACGGAGCAACGCCGCGUGAGUGAAGAAGGAUUUCGGUUCGUAAAACUCUGUUGUUAGAGAAGAACAGCGCAUAGAGUAACUGUUAUGCGUGUGACGGUAUCUAACCAGAAAGCCACGGCUAACUACGUGCCACCAGCCGCGGUAAUACGUAGGUGGCAAGCGUUGUCCGGAUUUAUUGGGCGUAAAGCGAGCGCAGGCGGUCAAUUAAGUCUGAUGUGAAAGCCCCCGGCUCAACCGGGGAGGGUCAAUGGAAACUGGUUGACUUGAGUGCAGAAGAGGAGAGUGGAAUUCCAUGUGUAGCGGUGAAAUGCGUAGAUAUAUGGAGGAACACCAGUGGCGAAGGCGACUCUCUGGUCUGUAACUGACGCUGAGGCUCGAAAGCGUGGGUAGCAAACAGG
rnacentral:rRNA from 1 species